GGCCCCGGCAGCGGGGCCGUCGCCUUUUGACUGAAACGGACCACCUCAGGUCCAAAGCAACGGAAGACAGAAA
rnacentral:ncRNA from 1 species